GAUGAACGCUGGCGGCGUGCUUAACACAUGCAAGUCGAACGAAGAGGCCCUGCUUGCUGGGGGGGCUCGUGUGGAGCGCGUGCGUGACACACGAGUAACCCCCGCUCAUCACUGGGGUAUACCUGGGAGACUGUGUGGCUUAUACGGUAGAGGCGUUCAUCGCACGGGGUGUGGUGGGGAGAUUUAGCGGUUUUGGCUGGGCUCUCGGCCUAUCAGCUUGUUGGUGGGGUAAUGGCUCACCAAGGCGCCGACGGGUAGCCGGCCUGUGAGGGUGACCGGCCACACUGGGACUGAGACACGGCCCAGACUCCUACGGGAGGCAGCAGUGGGGAAUAUUGCACAAUGGGCGGAAGCCUGAUGCAGCGACGCCGCGUGCGGGAUGACGGCCUUCGGGUUGUAAACCUCUUUCGGUUGGGACGAAGCGAAAGUGACGGUACCUGCAGAAGAAGCACCGGCUAACUACGUG
rnacentral:rRNA from 1 species